GGUUUGUGGCUCAGAGGUAGAGCACUUGCCUGGCAUGUGGGAGGCACUGGGUUUGAUCCUCAUCACCA
rnacentral:tRNA from 1 species